rnacentral:misc_RNA from 1 species
UGUUCUGAACCUACAAGUUUUCUUUCACCUUUCCCCCUUUACUUUUGAAUCUUCACCAUAACCAUCUUGAAGAAUAAUAGUCAAAUCAAGCCACUUGACCCAAUAUGUUGGAGAGAAAGAACUAACUGCCUUGCUUUAACUGGAACAGUGUGAAGAUAAGAACAUGCAUCAGCUCAGUUGCUUUUCAUGAGUUUGUAUAUACGGUCAUAUUAAGCUCUCCUGGGGAUCAAAGCUUCCCAAGGAAUUGAGAUUAUCUUUUGUUAAACUGACGCCCCCUCCCCCUUGAGAUCAAGGUAGGCUAUUUGUUUCUUCUCCAUUGAGCGAAGUAGAGGGCAUCAUUCUAGUAACUCUUGUCCUUAGCUUAAUUUUCUGCCUUCUCUCACCAAUUCAUUUAUGUCAGCAAUUGAAAUCUAAAGCAUAUUUAAUAGGCAACUAUGUUAUUGAAUUAUUCAUAAGGUUUCCUUUGUUUUUCCUGAUUGCCACAUGGAUGAAAUAUUGCAAUCCCUGCAUUUGAAUUGCAAUUCAG